UGCAUAGGAAUGAUUGAAUUGUGCUUUCUUUCAACAUAAAUAGGGCAUUGCAUCUUUGUCUGGUUAAUUCCGUUAACGAAUGAGAUCUCAGCCUGCUAACUAGCUAUGUGAAGGUGAGCCUCCACAGCCAGCUUCUUAGAGGGAUUAUGGCCGCUUAGGCCAAGGAAGUUUGAGGCAAUAACAAGUUUGUGAUG
rnacentral:ncRNA from 1 species